UACGUAGGGAGCGAGCGUUAUCCGGAUUUAUUGGGCGUAAAGCGUGCGUAGGCGGUUUAUUAAGUUUAAGAUAAAAGCCUGGAGCUCAACUCCAGUUCGUCUUAAGAACUGAUAGGCUUGAGUGUGGUAGAGGUAAAUGGAAUUUAUAGUGUAGCGGUGAAAUGCGUAGAUAUUAGAAGGAACACCAGUGGCGAAGGCGAUUUACUAGGCCAUAACUGACGCUGAGGCACGAAAGCGUGGGGAGCAAAUA
rnacentral:rRNA from 1 species